AGUGAACGCUGGCGGUAGGCCUAACACAUGCAAGUCGAACGGCAGCACAGUAAGAGCUUGCUCUUACGGGUGGCGAGUGGCGGACGGGUGAGGAAUACAUCGGAAUCUACUUUUUCGUGGGGGAUAACGUGGGGAAACUUACGCUAAUACCGCAUACGACCUACGGGUGAAAGCAGGGGAUCUUCGGACCUUGCGCGAUUGAAUGAGCCGAUGUCGGAUUAGCUAGUUGGCGGGGUAAAGGCCCACCAAGGCGACGAUCCGUAGCUGGUCUGAGAGGAUGAUCAGCCACACUGGAACUGAGACACGGUCGAGACUCCUACGGGAGGCAGCAGUGGGGAAUAUUGGACAAUGGGCGCAAGCCUGAUCCAGCCAUACCGCGUGGGUGAAGAAGGCCUUCGGGUUGUAAAGCCCUUUUGUUGGGAAAGAAAAGCAGCAGGUUAAUACCCCGCUGUUCUGACGGUACCCAAAGAAUAAGCACCGGCUAACUUCGUG
rnacentral:rRNA from 1 species